ensembl:lncRNA
CCUUAAUGGUGUUUAGUUCCUCACAGCAGUGGCGAGGGCCUGACUUGAUAGUGUGAGCGCACACACACACACACACACACACACACACACACACACACUGUGCCGGCUAAAGAGACCUGUUAGUCAACAAACUGGGUGAUCUGACCAUUUUUAUUUAUUUAUUUAUUUAUUUAUUUAUUUAUUUAUUUAUUUAUUUUUAUUUCACCGUUAGGACACAGUCACCAGUCGCCUACUAAUUAUGAAGUGCAUGGACUUGUGCAUUACGUGUGUGUGUGUGUGUGUGUGUGUGUUCUCUCAGCAGUAACAGUUUUUCACUCCAUCCUCAUGCCUUCUGCUUGUCACUCGCACCAUCAAAGCUGUCUGUCUGCCUCUUGACUGUCGUUCUGUUUGUUUGCUUCUGUCUCUGGUUCUGUCUCUGACUGUCUCUCUCUUUGUCCUGUCUGUCUCUCUCACUAUCUCUCUGCGUCUGUUUGUCUGUCUCUCUCAUGUUCUCUGUCUCUUACUGUCUGAGGGUGAGAGUAAGACAGUUACAGUCUGUGUGUGUGUGUGUGUGUGUGUGUGUGUGUGUUUCAGGUGUUUGACAGCGCUGCAGGAGAACACUUGGGCUCAGUUCCUCCGUACAGCAGAGAGGUAAAUCACGUGUUUUGCGUGUGCUCAGUGCGAGUCGGAAUAAAAGAGGAAUGUGCACAGAGGAAUGUUUUUUUUUUUUUUUUUUUCUCUCUCUCCUCCCUCACGUCUGUUUUUAACUCUGACUCACACACGCGUUAUUGUGAAGGCUGCUUUUAUACAGCAGGACAUCUGCUCGCGUCUCUCUGGACCGAGACAGUGAUGAGUAUUGAUGUGGUCUUCCGCUCCGGACUCCAGACAAAGAUUCCCUUUCACCCGAUUCUCAUUUCACGUCCUUCCUUCGUUCCUCGGGAUUUUGUUUUGAAACUCUUUAAGACUGUACGAUAUUUAAUAAUAAUAAUAAUAAUAAUAAUAAUAGUAGUAGUAGUAAUUCAUUUUGAUAUUAUUUUGUUUUUCACUCUGAUCAUCCUGAGCUCUGAAAUAUUUUCUUUUCUAAAUAUAAUAAGGCCUGGUUGCUAGGAGACGGUGUUAAAGCGGUGUUGUGGUGUAACGGUCACCUCAGACAGGAAGUCUCUGUUCUGUCCUGUUCCAUAUUUAAAAAAAACAAACAGUGAAACUGCUAUAAAAAAUCAUCGACUGUUUUAGAAAGGAAAGUCAAAAGUAAAGAUUUCAACACACACACACACACACACACAGACACACACAGACGGACGUGGAGAGAGACAGACAUAGACGUGGAGAGAGAGCAACAGAGAUAUAUAUAGAGGGAGAGAGCGAGAGAGACGGAUGUGGAGAGAGAGACAGACAGAGAGAGACACACAGGGGCUCAGUGCGUAUUUGUUUUUGGUCAUUGAUGGACUGUUGACAGUUGGAACACUGCGGUACACACACACACACACACACACACACACAUAUAUAUAUAUAUAUAUAUAUAUGCAAUGAAACAAGUUUCUUUCCACCAGCUCCAUGAACAAGGCCACUGUUUCUCCUCAGAGUUGUGACCGUUACAGCUGUGUGUGUGUACCUGUGUGAAUGUGAGCAGUGACUGAAGUCAGCGUUAAGUGUGUGUGUGUGUGUGUGUGUGUGUUAUGGGUUAACCAGAGCUCCGAAGGAGUGACUCAUGCUUUCAUUUAUUUUAUUUUAUACAUUGAUACUCAGCGCCACGAAAGCUGCUUCCUGUCUCCAUCAGCUCACAGCUCCAUUAAACAUUUCACUCGUUUUAAAGUUUAUAAAUGCUCUCAUCACUCCUCUUACACUCACUUUACUGCGUUCACACCCUGUCUGUUCGCCCCCCGCCUCGCCCCUCGCCCCACGCCUCACCCCUGCUAUAACGCAAGUGAGACGCUAACUUGGUUUCCGGAACAAUAAUUGUAACCAAAAGCGGAUAAAAAGUAUGCUGUGUUUUUGUAAUUGUGCUGUAAGAGGAAUGAAACGCUGCAGGGCGUGCUGCUGGAGGAAAAUAAAAAUCUUCAGGGAGGCGACGGUGACUCUG